rnacentral:rRNA from 1 species
AACGAACGGCUGGCGGCAUGCCUAACACAUGCAAGUCGAACGAAGCCUUCGGGCUUAGUGGCGCACGGGUGCGUAACACGUGGGAAUCUGCCCUUCGGUUCGGAAUAACAGUUAGAAAUGACUGCUAAUACCGGAUGAUGACGAAAGUCCAAAAGAUUUAUCGCCGAAGGAUGAGCCCGCGUAGGAUUAGGUAGUUGGUAGGGUAAUGGCCUACCAAGCCGACGAUCCUUAGCUGGUCUGAGAGGAUGAUCAGCCACACUGGGACUGAGACACGGCCCAGACUCCUACGGGAGGCAGCAGUGGGGAAUAUUGGACAAUGGGCGAAAGCCUGAUCCAGCAAUGCCGCGUGAGUGAUGAAGGCCUUAGGGUUGUAAAGCUCUUUUACCAGGGAUGAUAAUGACAGUACCUGGAGAAUAAGCUCCGGCUAACUCCGUG